rnacentral:rRNA from 3 species
UGAAGACGACGACGUUGAUAGGCCGGGUGUGUAAGCGCAGCGAUGCGUUGAGCUAACCGGUACUAAUGAACCGUGAGGCUUAACCUUACAACGCCGAAGCUGUU